UACGUAGGGGGCAAGCGUUGUCCGGAUUUAUUGGGCGUAAAGAGCUCGUAGGCGGUGUGUCGCGUCGGCCGUGAAAACCUGCAGCUUAACUGUGGGCUUGCGGUCGAUACGGGCAUCACUGGAGUUCGGCAGGGGAGACUGGAAUUCCUGGUGUAGCGGUGAAAUGCGCAGAUAUCAGGAGGAACACCGGUGGCGAAGGCGGGUCUCCGGGCCGAUACUGACGCUGAGGAGCGGAAGCGUGGGGAGCGAACAGG
rnacentral:rRNA from 1 species